UUCCAGACUCCUACGGGAGGCAGCAGUGGGGAAUAUUGCACAAUGGGGGAAACCCUGAUGCAGCAACGCCGCGUGGGUGAAGGAGCGUUUCGGCGCGUAAAGCCCUGUCAGCGGGGAAGAAGAAAGACGGUACUCGACCAAGAAGCCCCGGCUAACUACGUGCCAGCAGCCGCGGUAAUACGUAGGGGGCAAGCGUUAUCCGGAUUUACUGGGUGUAAAGGGGGCGCAGACGGCAAUGCAAGCCAGGAGUGAAAGCCCGGGGCCCAACCCCGGGACUGCUCUUGGAACUGCAUGGCUGGAGUACAGGAGGGGCAGGCGGAAUUCCUAGUGUAGCGGUGAAAUGCGUAGAUAUUAGGAGGAACACCGGUGGCGAAGGCGGCCUGCUGGACUGUGACUGACGUUGAGGCCCGAAGGCGUGGGGAGCAAACAGGAUUAGAUACCCCCGUAU
rnacentral:rRNA from 1 species